UCUAAAAAACAAAAAAAAUUAACUUUAAAUAAAAAUAAUUUCAACUCCCCUGUUUAAUCUCCCAUCUGUGCACCAUCCACUCCCCUCCAUCUACGACAGCAGCUCCCACCCCACAAGGCCCGCUACCCCAUAUCUACAACACCAAUUUAAAGGUUGUGGUCGACUUUGAUGGUUGAAUUCGGAGGUGAAAAGGUAGAGUAAAGAUGAUGUUGGUUAAAAUUUGGGAUGGUUAUGGUGGUGGUUCGCAUUUAGGGUGGGUGGUUAUGGUGGUUGUUUGUGGGGUCAGUCAGGGUAAGGGAGUUGAGGGAGACUGCGCAGGAUACUGUUCAAGAGGACGACGUCCACAACAACAAAGACAGAAGAACAAUUGACAUACAAUUGUAGGUUUUCAUCAAGUUAAAGAUGUUAUAGGCGAAAUUGAGCCAAAUCAACCAGGCUCAGAGGAGGAUAGCAACGAGGAUAGCAUCGAAGGCCUAGAGGAUCCUAAGAACAACAACAGCAUUGCUACAGCAUCACUGACCCUAGAAGGCUUUCAACAUAGCCAAGACAUCCAAGGGAGUGAUGAUUUAAUUAAAGAAAAUCAGAUGCAAGAGUUUAAGGCAACAAGAGAGCAAGGAAAACCAGCAACAGCCGCAGCUCAACAGGAAUAAGCCAUUCAGCAGAACUUGAUCGACCUUGCUGACCAGGCUACCUUGACAGAGCCGCCAGACGAAACCUGAGUUCGUAGGAUGACGUGGAGGGAAGAAAUGGAAUCUCCAUACACGGGCCUUGCUGUUAUGGUCCAAGGGUGCUCCUAAUAGUCAUGGGAAGGGCACAAGAAACAGGGCCAAAGGUCGCGUAGUCAGUAGCUAUUCUGACAGCGUUUAAAUCAGCUCUGUUUUGUUUUGUUUUAAUGAGAACAUGAAUUUCACGUGAGCAUUAUGACCGUUAUUGGUAGUUGCCUUAUGUGUAUUAUUCCUUGCUUUACUCAUGUAUCUUAGGCUUAUAAAUAGCUGAUUGAUCAUUGUAAAAAACUCGGUUAUGAAUGAUAAAUUUCUGAAAUUUCAUAAAGUUAUUUUUCAUUUCAAUUGCUGUGCAAUUGGGUUACCAAGAGUCGGUCUAUCCUUCAAGGUUGUGCGUGUUCUUGUGAGUUCAUCAAGACACCACUCCUCCCUAUCCAAAGAUACUAAAAAAUCUAUUAUAGAUCAAAGGAGGAAGCCUAGGAUUGCGUUGAUUUGAAGCCUGGCAGUCUAGUUCAGUUCAAGACAACAUGUGCAUAAGUUCUUGGAAUAUCCUCAGUUUUCGAAUCAAUCUGAUUUUGUGCGUUGAAUCCUUCAUUCGUCACGCAUAAUUGGA